rnacentral:rRNA from 1 species
CGAAGGACCCAUGCGUUAUCCGGAAUCGUUGGGUUUAAAGGGUCCGUAGGCGGUCCUGUAAGUCAGUGGUGAAAGCCCAUCGCUCAACGGUGGAACGGCCAUUGAUACUGCAGGACUUGAAUUACUGGGAAGCAACUAGAAUAUGUAGUGUAGCGGUGAAAUGCUUAGAGAUUACAUGGAAUACCAAUUGCGAAGGCAGGUUGCUACCGGUGGAUUGACGCUGAUGGACGAAAGCGUGGGUAGCGAACAGGAUUAGAUACCCUGGUAGUCCACGCCGUAAACGAUGGAUACUAGCUGUUGGGAGCGAUCUCAGUGGCUAAGCGAAAGUGAUAAGUAUCCCACCUGGGGAGUACGAACGCAAGUUUG